rnacentral:rRNA from 1 species
GUGUCAGCAGCCGCGGUAAUACGUAGGUGGCAAGCGUUAUCCGGAAUUAUUGGGCGUAAAGCGCGCGCAGGUGGUUUCUUAAGUCUGAUGUGAAAGCCCACGGCUCAACCGUGGGGGGUCAUUGGAAACUGGGAGACUUGAGUGCAGAAGAGGAAAGUGGAAUUCCAUGUGUAGCGGUGAAAUGCGUAGAGAUAUGGAGGAACACCAGUGGCGAAGGCGACUUUCUGGUCUGUAACUGACACUGAGGCGCGAAAGCGUGGGGAGCAAACAGGAUUAGAAACCCGAGUAGUCC